UUAUUUCCUAACUAACUGCCAGACAUUGUAUAACUUAUACAAAAAUUAGUACAUGUAUAAAUUGCUUCUUUACUAGCUACCAAACAAGCUCUGAUUGUUUUUUAUUGUAGUUGUUAGUCAACUAUGAUGUAAAAUAGUCUGACCUUUUGAAUUUUCAGCUAUUGAUGUAGCCUCUUUGGAUGCUGAUCUAGAAUCCUUAUUUUUUUAAAUAUUAACAACCACCUAGCCCACCAACUUUGACCAUGGAAUAUAACUAAGUAGCCAGAUCAGUUAGACCAAAUAUUAAGUUUCCACACUGUCAUGCCACCACUCUACAUUGUUUUUUUUCCCUUCUUAUCACUUCUGUUUUCUUGAUUUCUCAUACAAAAUCAAUCAUCACUUCAAUGGAGAAAGUGAGUUUCAGAAUAGAAGUCCUCAGCAGACACCUAAGUCAAAAAACAUCAACUCCCAAGUAUACAUUCCAAUCAGUCCCAUGUCUUAGCUACAAGCCACCUGAGCUUUCAGAACCAUCUGCUGUUUUCAACAUAAAAGAGAUGAGAAAGCUCGUGGAUGGUCACAAUUUGAAGGAAAGGGAGUGGCUUUUUGGUCUGAUGUUACAAAGCAAUCUUUUUAACCCAAUAGAAAGGGGUGGCAAAGUGUUUGUUUCCCAUGAUUACAGUCAGUCUAAGGAACAACAAAGGGAAAUUACCAUGAGGAGAAUUGAGUACCUUCUUGAACAUGGGGUUUUCAAGAAAUGGUUUACUGGUAAAGGGCCUGAAAAUGAGUGGAGGAAGUUAGCUUUCUCGGAUUGUGUUGGCGUCUUUGAUUAUUCACUUAGCAUCAAGCUUGGAGUCCAUUUGACCCUAUGGUAUGUUCUUGUCCAUUGUGUGCCUAUUUUUAAUAUCCGGAAGUUAGUGGCCUAACUAAUUUGCAUACCUCUCCGGUAGGUCCCAACUAAGGGAGAAGUUAUCUAUUCUCGAGGCCUGAACUCGAGACGUAUGGUUGAGGGGGAGACAUUUGGUUAAGUGUGGCGUCCACUAAGAGAUAAGUUCUUCAUUCCCGAGAGUUGAACCCUUGGCCUAUGGUUAAGGGUUAGAAUUGUAGUUAAGACUUAAGAGGUUCUUCAUUUCUAAGACUUGGUAGAACCCGACUCUUGUGGUUAAGUGCAAAACUUUGGUUAAGUGUGAAGGGGGUCACCUCCAUCCCACCUCACCUCUUGAUGGUCCGAAUGAUAAAUUGCUAUAAUGGUUGUUGUUACUGUUUGUUUUUCACUCAAAUUAGUUGGGAUCAAAUAUAUGAAUCGGCUUUGUCUAUCUCAGAGAACUCAUAAUUCCACUCUUUUUACUAUGGUUGUCAUAAGACAUUAUUAUUGAAUAGGAAUAAGAAAGAGUAUAAGUAGACAUUAAAUUUUCCUGUACGGACAUUCUUGAUUGCUUGAUUGAUUGGUUAAAGAAAGCUUACUUGGCAACUUUAGACCACCCAUCUGUGGAGGGUAGGAUGUACGCAAACCCUACCCCUGCCUUUGUGGGGUAGAUAGUUUGUUUCCGGUAGACCCUUGGCUCAAAACAAAAGUUUUUUAAGCAAGGAAAAUGCAAUAGAAAAAUAGCAAAAUAGCAAGAUACAAAGCAAAUGAAACAACAGACGGUACCACACAUUGAAAAAUAAGAAACAAAGCAAAUGCUAACUAGUACUACCACUACUAAUAGGAGGGGUAUUAUAUAAUUUUUUGAAUUAAUUUAAAUUGAAAAGUAUUAUAUAAAUUAGAAAGUCGUUUGUUUACAUUGAUGGGAUGUAUAAGAAUAUUUCAUGAGAUCCAUUAUCCCACCUUUUGUAUGAAAUUGCUAAUUUCACCAUUUUGUACAAAAUUAUUUUUGGAGCUAAUCAACAUCUAUAUUCAAAUAUGUAUAAAUUAGAAAGUCGUUUGUUUACAUUGAUGGGAUGUAUAAGAAUAUUUCAUGAGAUCCAUUAUCCCACCUUUUAUAUGAAAUAGCUAAUGUCACCAUUUUGUACAAAAUUAUUUUCGGAGCUAAUCAACAUCCAUAUUCAAAUAUGAGACUGAGUUGUUGUUCGGUAGCUGGUUAGAAUUAUGCAGGUAUUAGCUAUUCUAUCCUCUACUCCGUAUAAGAUAAUACACCAAUUCCCUCAUAACUCAUACAUGUAUUAGUUACGAGUUUCUAAAUUGCAAACCAAACUUCAUAUUAGUUUUAAUCACGAAUAAUUUAUUUCCUAAUUAACUACCAAACAUUGUAUAACUUAUACAAAAUUUAAUAAAUAUAUAAAUUGCUUCUUUACUAGCUACCAAACGACGACUGAUUGUUUGUUAUUGUAGUUGUCAGUCAACUAUGAGGUAAAAUAAUCAGACAUUUUGAAAUUUUCAGCUAUUGAUGUAGCCUCUUUGGAUGCUGAUCUAGAAUCCUUAUUUUUUAAAUUAUUAACAACCACCUAGCCCACCAACUUUGACCAUGGAAUAUAACUAAGUAGCCAGAUCAGUUAGACCAAAUAUUAAGUCUCCACACUGUCAUGCCACCACUCUACAUAGUUUUUUUCCCUUCUAUCAUUUCUGUUUGCUUGAUAUCUCAUACAAAAUCAAUCAUCACUUCAAUGGAGAAAGUGAAUUUCAGAAUAAAAGUCCUCAGCAGACACCUAAAUCAAGAAACAUCCACACCCAAGUUUAUACUCGAAUCGUUUCCAUGUCUUAGCUACAAGCCACCUGAGCUUUCAGAACCAUCUGCUGUUUUCGACAUAAAAGAGAUGAGAAAGCUCGUGGAUGGUCACAAUUUGGAGGAAAGGGACUGGCUUUUUGGUCUGAUGUUACAAAGCAAUCUUUUUAACCCAAUGGAAAGGGGUGGCAAAGUGUUUGUUUCCCCUGAUCACAGUCAGUCUAAAGAACAACAAAGGGAAAUUACCAUGAGGAGAAUUGAGUACCUUCUUGAACAUGGGGUUUUUAAGAAAUGGUUUACUGGUGAAGGGCCUGAAAAUGAGUUGAGAAAGUUAGCUUUCUCGGAUUGUAUUGGCGUCUUUGAUCAUUCACUGGGCAUCAAGCUUGGAGUCCAUUUGACCCUAUGGUAUGUUCUUGUCCAUUGUGUGCCUAUUUUUAAUAUCCGGAAGUUAGUGGCCUGACUAAUUUGAAUACCUCUCGGGUAGGUCCCAACUAAGGGAGAAGUUAUCUAUUCUCGAGGCCUGAACUCGAGACGUAUGGUUAAGGGGAAGACAUCUGGUUAAGUGUGGCGUCCACUAAGAGAUAAGUUCUUCAUUCCCGAGAGUUGAACCCUUGGCCUAUGGUUAAGAGUUUGAAUUGUAGUUAAGAGGUUCUUCAUUUCUAAGACUCGGUAGAACCCGACUCUUGUGGUUAAGUGCAAGAUCUUUGGUUAAGUGUGAAGGGGUCACCUCCAUCCCACCUCACCUCUUGGUGGUCCGAAUGAUAAAUUGCUAUAAUGGUUGUUGUUACUGUUUGUUUUUCGCUCAAAUUAGUUGGGAUCAGAUAUAUGAAUCGGCUUUGUCUAUCUCAGAGAACUCAUAGUUCCAUUCUUUUUACUAUGGUUGUCAAAAGAUAUAAUUUUUGAAUAGGAAUAAGAAAGAAUACAAGUGACAUUUAAUUUUCCUGGACGGACAUUCUUGAUUGCUUGAUUGAUUGGUUAAAGAAAGUAUGCUUGGCAACUUUAGACCACCAGUCCGUGGAGGGUAGGAUGUACGCAAACCCUACCCCUGCCUUUGUGGGGUAGAUAGUUUGUUUCCGUUAGACCCUUGGCUCAAAACAGAAGUUUUUUAAGCAAGGAAAAUGCAAUAGAAAAAUAGCAAGAUACAAAGCAAAUGAAACAACAGAUAGUACCGCACAUUGAAAAAUAAGAAACUAAGGGAAUGCUAACUAGUACUACCACUACUAAUAGGAGGGGUAUUAUAUAAUUUUUUGAAUUAAUUUAAAUUAAUAAGUGUGAUAUUAAUUAGAAAGUCGUUUGUUUACAUUGAUGGGAUGUAUAAGAAUAUUUCAUGAGAUCUAUUAAUCCCACCUUUUGUAUGAAAUUGCUAAUUUCACCAUUUUGUACAAAAUUAUUUUCGGAACUAAUCAACAUCCAUAUUCAAAUAUUCUAAUACGACACUGAGGAGUUGUUCGGUAGCUGGUUAGAAUUAUGCAUGUAUUAGCUAUUCUAUCCUCUACUCCAUACAAGUUAAUACAUCAAUUUCCUCAUAACUUAUACAUGUAUUAGUUACGAGUUUCUAAAUUGCAACCAAAUGUCAUAUCAGUGUUAAACAUGAAUGACUUAUUUCCUAACUAACUGCCAGACAUUGUAUAACUUAUACAAAAAUUAGUACAUGUAUAAAUUGCUUCUUUACUAGCUACCAAACAAGCUCUGAUUGUUUUUUAUUGUAGUUGUUAGUCAACUAUUAUGUAAAAUAAUCAGACCUUUUGAAAUUUUCAGCUAUUGAUGUAGCCUCUUGUGGAUGCAGAUCUAGAAUCCUUAUUUUUUUAAUUAUUAUUAACCACCUAGCCCACCAACCUUGACCAUGGAAUAUAACUAAGUAGCCAGAUCAGUUAGACCAAAUAUUAAGUUUCCACACUGUCAUGCCACCACUCUACAUUGUUUUUUUCCCUUCUUAUCAUUUCUGUUUUCUUGAUUUCUCAUACAAAAUCAAUCAUCACUUCAAUGGAGAAAGUGAGUUUCAGAAUAGAAGUCCUCAGCAGACAC
rnacentral:lncRNA from 1 species